UAUCAGUUCAGAGAAGAGUGAUUUCAGCAAAUAUUAUCUGCUGACAGUAACUUUUUAACAAGCAAAACAAAUUCCAAGGCAAGGAAUUAGAAAAGCUGCCCUUGGACAAUUUGACCCACUUCCCCGAAGACUUUUUAACCUGAAGCAAAAUCCAUUUAACCAGCCAAAGCUAGCACUCUGAUAACAGAAGCUGCCAGCUGGACGGCCAGUUCCAUGAUGUACGCAGGCAUCCACAUCGACUCCAGACGAUCAUGAGACAUCAGGUUUAAUUCACACUUUAGCCAAGACUGACCUGAAUGACAGCAAGUGAUGGGAGCAUAACAGCUCAUCUGGAGGGUUAACUGCAAUUGAACUUUGCCCAAAACAAUCUGCUCAACUGCAUUUUCAGAAGAACAAGUGUCACUUCAUUUCCAAAAGCAAAUGCUUAGCACAAUAGCAAGAGUUUGGAAAAAUUCAAAAGCCAAAACCUCCAACAGGAUCAUUUGACUGUGUACUAUGCCGUUGAUGAAAUUUUCUUGUGAUAUGAUAACCACUAAUGAGGAUGCAUAUCAACAUCACUAUUAUGGGUAUUGACACCAUGGUGAA